AUUGAACGCUGGCGGCAUGCUUUACACAUGCAAGUCGAACGGUAACAGCACUUCGGUGGCUGACGAGUGGCGAACGGGUGAGUAAUACAUCGGAACGUGCCUAGUAGUGGGGGAUAACUACUCGAAAGAGUAGCUAAUACCGCAUGAGAUCUAAGGAUGAAAGCAGGGGACCUUCGGGCCUUGCGCUACUAGAGCGGCUGAUGGCAGAUUAGGUAGUUGGUGGGAUAAAAGCUUACCAAGCCGACGAUCUGUAGCUGGUCUGAGAGGACGACCAGCCACACUGGGACUGAGACACGGCCCAGACUCCUACGGGAGGCAGCAGUGGGGAAUUUUGGACAAUGGGCGCAAGCCUGAUCCAGCAAUGCCGCGUGCAGGAUGAAGGCCUUCAGGUUGUAAACUGCUUUUGUACGGAACGAAAAGCCCUCUUCUAAUACAGGAGGGUCAUGACGGUACCGUAAGAAUAAGCACCGGCUAACUACGUG
rnacentral:rRNA from 1 species